AUUGAACGCUGGCGGCAUGCUUUACACAUGCAAGUCGAACGGUAACAGGCCGCCAGGUGCUGCCGAGUGGCGAACGGGUGCGUAAUGCAUCGGAACGUGCCCAGUCGUGGGGGAUAACUACUCGAAAGAGUAGCUAAUACCGCAUACGAUCUAUGGAUGAAAGCGGGGGACCGUAAGGCCUCGCGCGAUUGGAGCGGCCGAUGUCAGAUUAGGUAGUUGGUGGGGUAAAGGCUCACCAAGCCAACGAUCUGUAGCUGGUCUGAGAGGACAACCAGCCACACUGGGACUGAGACACGGCCCAGACUCCUACGGGAGGCAGCAGUGGGGAAUUUUGGACAAAGGGCGCAAGCCUGAUCCAGCAAUGCCGCGUGCAGGAAGAAGGCCUUCGGGUUGUAAACUGCUUUUGUACGGAACGAAACGGCUCUGGUUAAUACCCGGGGCUAAUGACGGUACCGUAAGAAUAAGCACCGGCUAACUACGUG
rnacentral:rRNA from 1 species